rnacentral:rRNA from 1 species
AGCAGCCGCGGUAAUUCCAGCUCCAAUAGCGUAUAUUAAAGUUGUUGCAGUUAAAAAGCUCGUAGUUGAAUUUCGGGAUCAAUACGUCGGUCGUGCUUCGGUACGUACUGGCGUAAUUGAUUUCUCCCUUCUGACGAACCAUGAUGUCAUUAACUUGGUGUCAUGGGAAAUCAGGACUGUUACUUUGAAAAAAUUAGAGUGUUUAAAGCAGGCUCACGCUUGAAUACAUUAGCAUGGAAUAAUGAAAUAGGACGUUCGAUCCUAUUUUGUUGGUUUUUAGGAUCAACGUAAUGAUUAAUAGGGAUAGUUGGGGGCAUUAGUAUUCAAUUGUCAGAGGUGAAAUUCUUGGAUUUAUUGAAGACUAACUACUGCGAAAGCAUUUGCCAAGGAUGUUUUCAUUAAUCAAGAACGAAAGUUAGGGGAUCGAAGACGAUCAGAUACCGUCGUAGUCUUAACCAUAAACUAUGCCGACUAGGGAUCGGAUGAUGUUAAUUUUUUAAUGAC